UGGGGAAUAUUGGGCAAUGGGCGAAAGCCUGGCCCAGCGACGCCGCGUGGGUGAUGAAGGCCUUCGGGUUGUAAAGCCCUGUCAUGCGGAAAGAACAGUUCCGAGGUGAAUAAUCUCGGGACCUGACGGUACCGCAGGAGGAAGCACCGGCUAACUCCGUGCCAGCAGCCGCGGUAAUACGGAGGGUGCAAGCGUUGUUCGGAAUUAUUGGGCGUAAAGGGCGCGUAGGCGGUUGUGUAAGUCAGUUGUGAAAUACUUCGGCUCAACCGAAGAACUGCAUCUGAUACUGCAUAACUGGAGUACAGGAGAGGGAAACGGAAUUCCCGGUGUAGAGGUGAAAUUCGUAGAUAUCGGGAGGAACACCGAGUGGCGAAGGCGGUUUCCUGGCCUGAUACUGAC
rnacentral:rRNA from 1 species